rnacentral:rRNA from 1 species
GUGAGGAAUAUUGCGCAAUGGAGGCAACUCUGACGCAGCCAUGCCGCGUGCAGGAAGAAGGCGCUACGCGUUGUAAACUGCUUUUAACCGGGAAGAAACCCCAGGACGUGUCCUGGGUUGACGGUACCGGAGGAAUAAGCACCGGCUAACUUCGUGCCAGCAGCCGCGGUAAUACGAAGGGUGCAAGCGUUAUCCGGAUUCAUUGGGUUUAAAGGGUGCGUAGGCGGAGCGUUAAGUCGGUGGUGAAAUCCUGCAGCUUAACUGUAAACUUGCCAUUGAUACUGGCGCUCUUGAGUGCGCUUGAAGUGGGCGGAAUGUGUCGUGUAGCGGUGAAAUGCUUAGAUAUGGCACAGAACACCAAUUGCGAAGGCAGCUCACUAAGGCGAUACUGACGCUGAGGCACGAAAGCGUGGGGAUCGAACAGGAUUAGAUACCCUAGUAGUCC